GUGGGGAAUCUUCCGCAAUGGACGAAAGUCUGACGGAGCAACGCCGCGUGAACGAUGACGGCCUUCGGGUUGUAAAGUUCUGUUAUACGGGACGAAUGGUGCGACGGCCAAUACCCGUCGUAAGUGACGGUACCGUAAGAGAAAGCCACGGCUAACUACGUGCCAGCAGCCGCGGUAAUACGUAGGUGGCAAGCGUUGUCCGGAAUUAUUGGGCGUAAAGGGCGCGCAGGCGGCGUCGUAAGUCGGUCUUAAAAGUGCGGGGCUUAACCCCGUGAGGGGACCGAAACUGCGAUGCUAGAGUAUCGGAGAGGAAAGCGGAAUUCCUAGUGUAGCGGUGAAAUGCGUAGAUAUUAGGAGGAACACCAGUGGCGAAAGCGGCUUUCUGGACGACAACUGACGCUGAGGCGCGAAAGCCAGGGGAGCAAACGGGAUUAGAUACCCGGGUAGUCC
rnacentral:rRNA from 1 species